AUUUGGCGGAAUUCACUUUGUGGUUCUUGAUGAUCGCUAAACAUUUUCCAGGAUGAAGCUCGUCGUUCUGAUUUUCAUGUUCGUGCUACUUGCCCUGGCCGGACACGUGAGUGCUAAGCAACCGGAUUCCUUUUUUCCUUGUUUCGAUAAAAAUGGCUUCUUGGUUGAGUGUCAUCCAGGAGGAAUAACAAGACAUGAAUAAAACAUGACAUAUUGUAUUGUUCACAGCUAAAAAUUAAACACGAGAAAUAUUGAA